rnacentral:hammerhead_ribozyme from 1 species
UUCUAGCUGACAAGUCCCGAAUAGGACGAAACGCGCAUCCUGGAU